ACCUUCACACUUUUUGUGCACUUCUCAUGGGAUCAAGUUGUGGUAUGAAAUACAACCGUCAGCUGUUCUCGUGUGUUUUUCAAAAACAUACAUCUGUUUGUUCAAGGAAUGUCAUACGUUUGUGCAUCAUUGCAUGUAAAUACAACUUUCAGCAACGGAUCUCUUGGCUCUCGCAUCGAUGAAGAACGCAGCGAAAUGCGAUAAGUAAUGUGAAUUGCAGAAUUCAGUGAAUCAUCGAAUCUUUGAACGCACCUUGCGCUCCUUGGUAUUCCGAGGAGCAUGCCUGUUUGAGUGUCAUGGUAUUCUCAAAUCUCUUGUGUUUCUUUUUUUAUUUUUAAAAAAAGAAUACAAGUAGUUUUGGACUUGGAGGUGAAUUGUUGGCUUUUGUCAGCUCCUCUGAAAUGCAUUAGCUUGAAAUUAUACCAAGCAUGGUUCAGCGUGAUAAACACUGCGCUGCUUUGUAUUGGUUUUUAUUUUUAUGUUUCAAGCUUAGAAUUGUUCCUGGCAAGGAACUCACUUUGGACAUCUGACCUCAAAUCAGGUAGGACUACCCGCUGAACUUAAGCAUAUCAAUAAGCGGAGGA
rnacentral:rRNA from 1 species